CCUACGGGGGGCAGCAGUGAGGAAUAUUGGUCAAUGGACGAGAGUCUGAACCAGCCAAGUAGCGUGAAGGAUGACUGCCCUAUGGGUUGUAAACUGCGUUUAUAUGGGAAUAAAAUGUUCCACGUGUGGGAUUUUGUAUGUACCAUAUGAAUAAGGAUCGGCUAACUCCGUGCCAGCAGCCGCGGUAAUACGGAGGAUCCGAGCGUUAUCCGGAUUUAGUGGGUUUACAGGGAGCGUAGGUGGCUUGUUACGUCAGUUGUGAAAGUUUGCGGCUCAACCGUAAAAUGGCCGUUUAAACGGGCAGUCUUGAGUACAGUAGAGGUGGGCGGAAUUCGUGGUGUAGCUGU
rnacentral:rRNA from 1 species